GUUGACUUCCCAGUAACUUUUAUGUGUUACAGGGAGUUGGACCUGAUAUAUCAAUCAACGUUUAUGUAUAUGAAUCCCUGAGGUCUCAUUGGAAAAUGGAAAGUUGAAUGUCAAACUGUGCGACCAAUGAUUUGAUAUGGUUAAUUCCAGUUGGGUGUGUUAACCUACAGUAAUCAAUCAAGUCAACAAAUAUAACAAUGAUACUUUGUCUUCUGAUUUUUGGUGAUGAUUUUUUUUGUGACUGAACUAACAGGAGUUGAAGCAUGUGUUCUUAUUUUUUUAUAUGACUAGAUGCAUAUGAACUGAAGCUCCAUAAUUUUCUUUUCAAGUCGACAUUGGUGGCAACCAAUACAAUUAGCGUUAUUUACAACCAAUGAAGUCUUAUAAUUUUCUUUCUUAGAAAUAUACAGUGACGCUGACUAUCAUUUAGUAGCUCUACAGGCACUAGCCAAAAACAAUAAUGUUUAUUUAUUUAACCACCAAAUAGAACAAUAGGUUAUUCUGCAUUGUGGGUACACAAAUCACAACACUAUAUUUCAGCUGUAGAAAUCUGUGUGGAUGCCUGCUGAUAUUUUAAGCCUACAUAUUGCCGAUUUGGUUUGAGUAAUGCUUGAAGCAUAAUUUACUUCCUAAUGUGCAAAUAGCAGUAUCAUUUUUUGUCAAGAAACUGAGAAGACGGAAGAGAGUUGGUGUUGUCAGUGUGGUGAGCCUAUGCGGCAACCACAAGGCUGAAGUCUGCUUUGAUCGUUAUUCAAGAUUUGAGCCUUGGCUCCGGUUUUGAUAGCUCUAUAUCAACUUUCAGCGAGUUUUUGUUCUCGGACUAGGGAUCCACAGUCCAAAGUUGAUUGGUGGAUCAAGUGAACUUGGUGCAUCUCCAUUCAAGCUGGAGUACAAUUACCGACCUGCUUGUUUAGCGCAGUCUCCACAAUCAUACAAGCAAAUGAGCAGCUGGCGACCCAACACACAAAGUUUCUAUCUUCUUAUUUUCUAUGCAAGUAGCAGCUGGCGCAGCGGUGGUGUUGAUGAACGACACCCAAUGCAGAGGCGGCAGUUACCAUAGGGAAGAGGUCAAGAACAUCUAGCUCUUGUGGUGUUCCUCCUCAUUAUUGUCAUCGCCAUCAACAGCAACAAUGACGACCGGCUCAUGAGACAGCUACUAGAGAGGGAGCGAGGAAGGGGGAGACAAAUCUUUCAGGUACAAUGGUAUGACAACCAUGUUCUGAACUAUCAAUGAGAUUUGGUGCUAAGUCAGCAUCGUGUUUUAUCCAAUCUAUCAAACACCAUAAGUUUCAUGUCGAAUGUGUUGUAGAAAUGUUCUUCCAGAAAUAUGGUUUUAGUCCUUCAUAUUUUAGUAUCGUUGUAAAUUUAUCCAUUCACAUAUCACUCUGAGAAACAUUUUUAAUUGGGGGAAGGAAGAAUGGGAGAAAAGAAGAGUGCUUUGACGUAAAAAAAGAAGUCGUCAAUAUAGCCCGUUGCAACGCACGGCGUUCUACUAGGAGAUGCAAGUGGAGUGGAAUAAUGAAAAUACAUUG